rnacentral:lncRNA from 1 species
GCUGCAAAACGACAAGGACAAUUGGACGGUGAUGUGGGAAUGAAGACUUGAAUGCACUUUAUUUUAAGAAGAAACUCAAUUUUGCUAGAUUGGGAUCCUCAUAGAGGAAUAUAAUUGUCAAGUUUAUUAAAUUUAAAUUUAAUUCCAAUUAAACAUUAGAACAUAACUGUUUAUCUCGUGUGUUUGGUUUUCAUCUUCUCAUCCUAUUCCCCGAGUUCCCUGCAUUACUCUAGGGUCCUUUAACUAUGUUAACAAACAUUAAAUGACACCCUCCUUCCCUUAAGUAAAGAGCAGAUCAAUGAAAAAGGAAAAGAAACUAACCUGGAUUAAAUGACGCAGCAGGAACAGUGCAGAAAAAGGCAGGGGCACCAACCAGGUUAAGGUCAAAAUAAAGUUACGGGCAGACCACUUGAUAGGAAGCUUUCUUGACGUAAGCUUAAAAAAAUAUAAGAACCAAAUCGAAAUGAGAAAGGACAGACACAAACCUGGAAGAAAAAGUGUUGCAGGUAACAGCGGACGAAGUUUCAGCAGACCUAACUAAAGAGCUGAUGCUAUCUAGCUUUAGAUGAAAGGGUGUCAGCACACUCUUUUUUUCACAAGCUGUGAACUAAGAAAGCAGCAAAAUCCUUAAAAGAAAAGCGAAGAAACUAAUCUGUAGAGACAGAUUCUAAAGAAACAGAACAGCAGAAGGCCAAAAAAAGAAGAAGAAAUUACUGCAGCUAAAAAAUGCAGCAAGCAAUGAAGAAUGACACAACCUGAUAAUGAACAGCACAUGAGCAAACAUAGAACAAAAGUAGGUAAGAGACCGCUAUCGGAAUGCAACCAUCCUCAACAACAACAACAACAAAAAAGAUGGACCCAGGCCAAGUCGAUAUCGACACCAUUUGAGAAAAACAUUUAGCUAUACGAAAAUGAAUGCAGUGAAGGAAAACCAUAGCUACUUAAGAACCAGCUGAAGGGUCAUAUAACCCUGACAAAGGCUAUUCGAUCGUGCCUAGUCGAAGGCAAUCAAACACACAAACAUUCCUAAACAUGCACAUCAUAAAACCACUAAUUAAAAAUAGGAGGAAGCUCAGACAUGCUCUUAAACCUAAUCAAAAGGUGCUUCCCAAAAAAAAACCAGCAGGGUCUCUGAAAAGAAACAAAACUACGAAUCAUAGAGAAUAAUCGCAAAUCACGAACUGGAGCAACAUCACGCAACCUAAGCCAUGGAACAUCAGGUGGUUGCGCGAAUCCUGGAGGAGAAUUGAAGGGAAGAAUCAAACAGGAAUGAGAAGCAGCAGCAAUCAUGCCAGGAACAUGCAUCAUGCUUCCACAAGCAAUCCUGGAGGAGAAAGUGGUGGAACAGCUGCUUCAUGAGAUACCGCAGUAGUUUCUAAACCCAAAACCUUCCUAACUGUUGCUUGAUUCUGUCUACUUUUGAUGGUCUUUCUUGACUGCAUUGAUUCGGAGGCAACUGUUCUUGACGAGUUACUACUAUCGACAGAUGCUAGAAACUAGUCUCGUGUAAGUGUUGUUGGGGCAGAUUGAAUAACAGAGCUGAAGACACCCGACUCUCUUAAGCCCUGAAUUGUGGCCUGAAAUAUACAAGCAGCAAUCAUAAAUCAAUAAGGAAAUCACCGAGCAAUUGAUGCACACACUUCAGAUGCAUUUGGCCUUGGGCCUAGAGAUUUUUCACAUCUUGAUGGCAAGGAUCAGCUAGUUGAUUGCACUCAUCAUAAUUUUUUUUCUCGGUUUGUGCAGGAUAAUUUUCACCAUCUUAAUUCUUAAGCUAUGAAUUCCAUUUGAUCUGUUUAUUUUUAUUAGCAUAAACAAUUAGCUAUGAAUUCCAUUCAGAUUAAGUUACUAAGCCUUGAUCUUCACGUGUCCCAGUUUGAGUGAUUUCCCAGAGGAGGAUUGUUUAGGCGGCCUCACCCACCUGAAGAAUUUGAGAAUCGGUGGUUUCUCAGAGGAGAUGGAGGCUUUUCCUGCAGGAUUUUAAAACUCAAUCCAGCACCUCAACUUGAGUGGGUUCCUUGAAAGACUAUGGAUACAUGGAUGGGAUAAAUUGAAGAGUGUACCCCACCAACUUCAACACCUCACUGCCCUCGAGGCAUUGUCUUUAUGUGGUUUCAAUGGAGAGGAAUUUGAGGAAGCAUUGCCAGAAUGGAUGUCCAACCUUUCUUCUCUUCACCUUCUUGAGAUUUAUAAUUGCAAGAAUCUCAAGUAUUGCAAAGUUCAACAGCCAUUCAACGCCUCUCCAAAUUAAAGGAAUUGGAGAUUUGGGGGGGGAUGUCCACAUCUAUCAUAAAAUUGUAGAAAGGAGAAUGGCUCUGAGUGGUCUAAGAUUUUUCAUAUCCCAGAAAUUUAUAUAUAGAGGUAGGUUGGGAUUUUAAUUAUUCUGUUAUUUUGUAGUGUGCAGAGGAGAAAGAACCAAUUAAAGUUUUCAAAUUAAUGAAAGCAAUGAUUAGACUUCAUUCUCUUAAAAUGGUUUAUUUCAUUUAAUUUAAAACAUUUUAUAAAAUAAAUGAUUAUUUGUUUGUCUUUUUUAACCUAGAUUUGAUUCCGUACACUAUUACAUGGCAUUAUUAACUACCAAAAUUAUAUUUUCAUGACUGAAUUACCUUUUUAUUUACAAAAGAAUUUAAUAAAAUAUUUUAACAAUGAUAAUUUUUUUUUUGGAAGGCAGCUAAAUUGUUCAAAAUAUGAUAAUGAUUGGUUCCACUAGUUGUUAAUUUUUAUUGUUAAUUUUUACAUGAAUCACUUUAAUUUUAUGGAUGGUAAAUAACUUAUUUGCUUUGAAACUAAUACCAAAUUAGCUUUUAUGAUGUAUCCUUUUGUUAACAAAAUAUAUACUUAUCAAUGAAAAAAUCAAUAGCCAUCCAUCCAGAUUCUUUGAGCUCUUGAGACUUAUCUGAUAACUUUCUAAUGGAUAGCAUUAGUGGUUUCUUCACCAAAAUGUCUAAUUUGCUAUCACAUAACCAAUUGAAGUUUGAUAUUUUAGAGAUCAAAUUGCCAGAUGUAAUAUCCCCAGUGGAGCUUGAUUAGUACUUAAAAGUCCAUGUUUAUCAAGGGUUUAUGUCAUCAUUUUGCACUUAAAAUAUCAAUAACUCCUUAACUAAAACAUGUUUUAUAAUAACAAGUCUAAUAUUAUAAAAUACCCUAAUAUAUGGUAAAUGUUCAUCUUAAAUGCAGGCAUAUCACAUAAAUCAAAGGACUUAUUGAUGAAUUCAACUACUGAAAUUUUGAAGAUAAAGAAGGGUGAAGCUUAGAAAAGAGACGUUGGUGCAGUCCAAACCGGAACACUACUAUUCGGUAAUUGGGUCAUAUCUCGAGUUCUAGAUAUCCAAAUGAUCUGAAAUUUUUACAGAGAUUUGAUAAGAUAUAGGCCUACAACUUUCAAUUGAACAUUAAGAUCUAAGAAGGCCGUUUUCAAGUCCAAAUUAUAGCAACAACGGAGAAGUCCGAAUCUGUCCUGCAGCCCAAACACUGUUCAGUGUUUGGCCCAUAUCUGAAGUUUUAGAAGUCCAAAUCACCUCCACUUUUUUUUCCUGGAAAGCUGAGUCAAUUUCCUACAACUUUCAUGCUUUCAAGUGGACCCAGUUCUGAUGCUAGCAUUUUCGUUUUAUUUAGACAAGAUGAUAAGGAUUUUCACUAAGUCAAAAGUUGGCCACCCACUCAACAAUGAGUCAUCAAAGCAAUAAUUCCGAAUUUUGGCCUAUAAAAGGAGGUAUUUGCCAUGUAUUUAGGGGCUUGGUUGUUCAGAUCAAGUUCAUGCUCUUUAUUUUUCUCUCUUUAUAUUUUUGUAAUUCUUAAGUUUUGCUUUCAUUAAUUUCUUGUUUAUGCUUUUCAUUUCCUUUCCUUUCCUUAGUUAACUUGUAUUUUAUUUAUGUUCUUGUUUUGUUUAUUUAUGUUUCUCUUCUUCAUUAUGUUUGGCUAAGUUUAUUAUGUCAAGGUGAAAAGGUUACACUAAUGGUGUAAGAACAAGUAUGGUAAACUCAAUAUGACCUUAAUGUUUAAUAUUAACAUGUCUUAUCUUUUUAUCUUACUAAUUCUUAAUACCUUGCUUGUUAAAUGGUUAAUCUAAAUUUGUGUUGUAUAAUACUUGGUACAACAAAUGCUUGGCACUCUCAUAGCCCAACCGUAUGGUAUUACCUACACCUGGGCUAUGAAAGGUACUUGAUUUGUUGUUAACAUCAUUAACAUCAUGAAUUCCUGUGAUAAUAUUUAAAAGUUUGGUGUUAUGUAAAUGAGAUAAUUAAUAUGAUCAUGUUAAUAAUUUAUAAUGAGCUAUUAAUGACAAAUCAUCCGAAUGGAACCUCCUUCGUGUGUGGUUUCCAAAUUGAGUAAUAAGAGUUUAUACUAUACUUGUUUGAAAUACCAUUGGUGGAUCCUCUAACCUUGACAUUUAUUUUUAUCAUUGUUUAAUCCUUACAUUAAUCUUCCAUCUCAAAGUUCUCAUUAAUUUCUUCCUCCUCUUCUUUUUAUUGUUAUUAUUAUUACUACUAUAUAUUAUAUUAUUAUAUAUAUAUAUAUAUUAUUAUUAUUAUUAUUAUUAUUAUUAUUUACAUUCUUGUUAUAUUUUAUGUAUGUUAAGUAUGCUCUGUGUUUGAUCAAGGAUCCUGACAUUGUUGGUCUUGCCUUGUUCAUUCGCAUCAGAAAUCUGUUUAUAUUAUAUAAUAUAUCUCUUUGAUCUUUCCAUAAACUCAGUAUAUAGGCUGGAAACCUGUGACCCGAUCUUUUAGAUCAUUCUCAGGUAUAACAACGUCACGUACUGAGUAUUAUUAUUAUUAUUAUUAUUAUUAUUGUUGUUGUUGUUGUUGUUGUUGUUAUUAUUAUUGUUGUUAUUGUUGCUAUUAUUGUUAUUGUUGUGUUGUUCUUUAUAAUUUAUACAAUUAACCUCUCUGUGGUUCGACCCGGGUCUUGCCAGGUUAUUUAUUACUUCGACACUCCUGCACUUGGGAGAAGACAUCAAUCUUUUGGUCGUGUCAGAGCUCAAAUCAAAUCAGCUUAGUGGGUUUCUCUCAAGGAUUUUAAACAACAGGACAAACAACUUUCUGAAGAUUUUAAAUGUAUCAGAUUUUAGGCACAAUCCCGAAACUAAUUAAAGGAUUAAGCUUGAAGGUUCUAAAUCCCAUAACAACAUUCUCAUAAUUAAAUCAAUAAAUUGAGGUGAUAUUUUGAACUCACAUCCUUAUUUUCAACAUUAUUACCCUCUAAGGCCACCUUACCCUGCCUUAAGCUUAGUAGCCUUAUCCACAUAAGGCGUCUUCUCCUGAAACAAAUCGAAAUCAAAAGAUAACAGUUAUAGACCACUCUCAUUGUUCAAUAGCUUAUAAGUGUCUACCAAUGAUUUAUUGAGAGAGAGAGAGAGAGAGAGACCAACACUCAUUUCAUCAGUCAUUGAUUUCCAUCUCUCACCACCUCCCUUUGCAACCUGAAUUUCAUCAAAUACAGCAUUAGCAUUACUAUACUCUUUCCUAAGAUAACCCCUUACAAUUAUUAGUAUAUCAACCUGAACAACAUAAUAAAAUUGAAAAUGACAAAACUGCAUUACGUUUCAUUUAUCUUCUUAACAUCCUUAGAAUGCGAGUUGCCUUCCUUGUACUCUUUUCUAAAAUCAUCUCUAAUUAAAGAGCUACACACAUCAAUACAAAUCCCACUCCCCGUAUUCACACAUUAUCAUGAUCACAUUAUAUUACACCACACAAAUAAGCAACAAAAGGCAUUACAUUAGGAGAAAGAAAGUAAUGGGAGGUCGUUUCAGUGCAUUUUGAUCCUUGCCCUUCUCCUCUUUAUUCUCUUUCUUCGCUUUCGGCUCUGUCAAGGUUGUUGUCUUCCUACAAACCAAAUCAUAACAAACAAUCAGUUGAUUAAUCAGAUAGCAAAACAAAAUUAGUGCCUCUUAGCAUCAAGACUACAUUACGGAACUUAACUAACUAAAAUUCAUCUUGAUUUUAGCAUAAGCAGUUCUUUUCCCCAUGUAUCUCCAUCCCUUUGUUUAUACUUUUAGAAGAUUUUGAGGGAAGGGUUUUUUACUUCUUUUGCAUAAUCACAAUUGAAUUGUAUUUACUUUUGAUCUUCAGGUAAUUAAUUUUUUAGUGAUAAGUGUAUUUUAUUUGAAAAUGUUUCCAUUUGCUAUAGAUAGAUGAUUUUGAGGCUAGUUUAUGGACUAUUCGACUUAAGAGGGUGUUUGUAAUUUGUGGGUUUCGGCAAGUCACCGAUUAGGUGGCUGAUUGGAUUGAGGGGUUGCGGGUUUGGAUGUAUUAGCUUUCAUUGUUAUGAUUUAUUUACGAGAGUUAGUGAAAGUCUGAAACAAAGAAGACAAUUUACUUGCAUGAAAGUCUGACAUAAAAAAGAUAAAAGGCAUGCUCAGUAUAAACAAGAUAUGUCACAACCCGAUUUUUUGAUCCAUGACCGGCAUACAGGCAAGAUUUCCUUUCAAGGUUCCAUACUUAUACAAACUCAAACUUACAUACAAACUUAUUUAUUAAAUAACUCAAUUAGAGUUCAACGCAACAAUAACAUCAAAACAAACUUCAUAAUAUAAUUGAUUGUUUUAAUACAAGAGUUAAUAUAAAUUCAUAGUUGUGGGGCACUAACUAGACAUAAAACAAAAGUACAAAUUACUACCAAAAAAGCAGGUUCUGAAGAUCCAACAAAAACGACUCACUAACAAGCUAUAAGACUGAAAAGAUAAAUAAUGAGAGAGUGAGUUCAACAACUCAUUGAGUAAAUAACGUUCAAUAUACACACACGAGAUGAUACAAUAAUGAGGAAUUUAUAUACAAUUAUGGUUUUAAGUUAUUAUAGGAAGGUUUCUCAAAUAGGUCAUAACAAGAAUAUCAUAAGGUAAAGCUCAUCACAAAAUCAAAGUGCAAUAAACAUGAGGCUCCGUACUGUUGAAUGAUGAGUGCACACAGGUUGGUCACUACUCCGACCAAUUUGGGUUUAGAUACGAUGUACACAAAGGCUAACACUACCCUGUCAGCAUGGAUAUUCUGACUGGCAUACCAUAGGUUCAUAAUCAUAAUCAAUGCUCAACUCAUGACAUCAAUCAAAUGAGGAGCUAUCAUUUCAUAAGUCAAUUAUAUAUUAUCAAGAAGCAUGAUCCAAUUCUUUUUAACAACUCAAGUAUCUAUAAUAUUUCACAUGAUAUGGAAAAUUAUCAACUCACCUUACUGGAAAGCAAACAGAACUUGAAAGCAAAUACCGAAGGAAAUCCUACUAAUAUCCCGCUGGUAGAAUAUCAGGAUUAUCUGAAUAAAAAAAAGACAUAUUCAAAAAUGACUCGAAAGAGCAUACAACCUAUUUAAUACACUUAACUAAGAGUCUAUUUCAUAACCCUAUAUGUUUUGAACUAAACUAGUUAUUUUUCCUAUAAACCUGAAAAUUAUAUGGUUUCCAGAAAUCUAAUUCAUAAGAAAAUAAAUAAUAAGACUUGAUAAUAAUAUACUAAAUAACCCUCAAAUAUUAAUCAAACCAAUAAAAAAAAGCUAAUAUUACAACUAGGGAUUGUAAGACCCAAACUUUUGGCCAAACCUAAGCCCAAGUCAACCCAAACCCAACCUAAGUUAACCUAGGUAUUUAAGGAAGAGUUGCAAGAGAAUUACUUUCUCUCUUCUAAUUCUUGUAGCCGUCGUGACCCUCCUCCCUCAAACCUAAGAUUUUAGUUUUUGAUCUUGAGUUUUCGGUUCAAGAAAGGUGAAAUAGCAAGUAAGUGAUUCUCUUUCAUAUUACUUUUGAUUAUAGUUUGUUUAUGGAAUGAUUAAAGAAGAGAUUAGGGUUUAUAAAGUUUAGAAGUUUAUGUUGUUAAGAUUGAUUUAUGAUUAUUAAGGGUUAAUUUAAUAUUAGGUGAUUAAUUAGUAUGUUGUUAGAAAUAAGAAUUUGUGAGUUGAUUUGUUUAAAUUAAUUCUUAUGGGGUUAAGAAAUUCAUUUUUACCUUGCUGGAAAAUCUGGACAGAAUGGUCUUGAGGUUGAAGAUGACCAAAUUUUAUUUUGGUCCUUGAUUUAUGAAAAUUUCAGUUUAGUCCCUAAACUUUGGAAAAAUUACAAUUUGACCCCUAAAUAUAUUUUGAGAUUCUGGACAGUGUUAUUAUGAGAUUAAGGAUAUGAAUCUUAGUUUGAUAAAUGAUUUGGAAUAUUUCCAAUUUGUCUCUAAAUUUUAGGAAUUUACAUUUUAGUCCCUAAACUUUAUAAAAUUACAGUUCGGUGCCUGGUUCGUUCUAGAAAGAUUUAAGGAUGGUUUAUGGGUGAAAUUUCAGUAUGGUUAUGUAUUUAUAGUUUGGUCUAGUUUUGGUAAAAUUACGUUUUGGUCCCUAUUUUGGAUAAUUGUCGUUUUAGUCCCUAAACUUAGGAGACUAAACCUGGUUUUAUUUUAUGCAUUGGAAUCUUUUAUUUGUGUUGCUUUGAGUUGCUUUUGAGUAUAUUUCAUAUAUUUAUUGUAGGUUCUCCUAACGAUCCUCAAUAGGUUUUUCGGGUCUUUCAUCUGAUAUUCCUUUUAGUUCUAUAUUUUUCGGGAGUGGGAUAAUCUUUAAUAUGCAUAUAUUAUAAAUAAAUAUGUAUGUUGAUUAUACAAUGAGUACAACUAGUUAAUUUCUUGAAUAUUUAUAUAUGUUGCUUUAUUUUCCGAGUACUCAUUUAUUCUUGAAUUUGCACUCGCAAUCUUUCGAACUAAAUUCUAUUUGAUAUGAUAUACGUUUCUUUGAUGAUUCUGUAAAUACUAUUAUGCCUUGAUAUAGGACUUGUCAGUAACUCCAUGCUAACGGAGAGUAGUUAGCCUAUGUGCACAUAGUAUUCUGUAUACCUAGCUGGUGAGAGAGGCAUCAGCCUGUGGCGACUGAUCAUCCCAUAGUGGUCACCUUCGGGUGUCAUCUGAUCUCUGACAUGUAUUCCACUACGUUAUGAUAAUAUGUUUAGUAUGUAUAUGUAUAUGUAUAUGUAUAUCAAGAUAAAUCAUCUUGCAAACUAUUAAUAUCUAAAAUCUAAAAUGUAUAUUAAAUAUUAUUCCCUCACUGAGUUGAUUGAACUCACCCCUCAUUCUUAAUAUUAUUUAAAUUUUAGUUUCUGAAAGCAGUUGGACCUUGUUAGGUGUUUCCGCUUCUUCAAUUUUGGUCAGUAUGCCUUGCUUGUUCUGCGAGGCUUUCUUUUAGUUUUGAUUCGAUGUCUUAGACACUCCACCAUUAUCUUGUUUUAAUUAAGUUUGGAUUUUGACAAUGUAAUGAAUAUUAUGGAUUAUUAUUUUGUUUUAAUUACUAAUAAGGAGUUUUAAACUAUAUUUUGGUUUUAUCAGUUUUGAAUAAUAUAAUAUUUCUGAAGAUUAUAAAAUGCUGCGUAUUUUUGAAUAAAUUGUUAUUUUUGAUAUGUAUGUUAUGAGGCUUAGCGUAGGUGAGGUGUCCUUUCGACAUCGCUCCUACGUUGUCGAUCAUGGACCUGGGAUUCGGGUCGUGACAGGGACCAAUCUAGAAUUUUAUUAAAUUUUAGGGCUCAAAUUGUAAUUUAGUCAAUUUCAAGGACCAAAGUAAAAUUGUCAUAAAUCCAUGACUAUACUGGAAUUUUUCCCAUAAUUCAUCCUCAAUUCUGUCAAGAAACUCUAAUUAUGCUCCAGGGACCAUUCUGGAAUUUUAUCAAAAAUUUUAGGGUCAAAUUGUAAUUUUUGUGAAAUGGAAGGGCCAAAUUGAAAGUGUUAUAAUUCAUAACUAUACUGGAAUUCUGCCCAUAAUUCAUCUUUUCUUCUAUCCAGAAUCUCAUAUUACGUUCCAGGGAUCAAUCUGUAAUUUUUCAAAAUUUAGAAACUAAACUGAAAUUUUCACAAAUUGAGAGACCAAACUGAAAUUUCAUCAUCUUCAGCUAAGGGUGAUCAUUUUCGGUUUGGUUUUUGUAAAGAAAAGUAACCAAACUAAUUUUUUUAAAAAAACCAAAACCGGUUCAAACCGAUCGGUUUCGAUUCAGUUCGAUUAUUUUAGAACAAAAACUGGUUUUUUCGGGUUUUUUCGGUUUUUUGGUUUGGCUCUGUUUUUUCGAUUUGGCUAGGGUUUUUUUUCCGGUUUAGGUUUGGUUUUUUUGAUUUCAUGCUUAUAAAACCGAGCCAAACCAAACCAAUCGAUUUUUAAAAAAUUCUAAUUGGUUUAAUCAGGUUUUUUUUCACGGUUCAGUUUUUUUUGUUAUUUUUUCUGGUUUUCUUGGUUUAAUCAGUUUUUUGAUUUUUUUGCUCACCCUUAUCUUCAACUUCAAACCCAGAAUUUCCACAUAAAACCUAUUGUUAUAUCAAGAUUUCUAACUCAAAUUCACAAUUUAAACAAAAUCAUAACUCAAAAUCAUCAUCUUUACCUACAAUAUUCUAAAAUCAACUAAAUAAUUUAUUAUCCAUAACAUUCAAAUCAAUUCAUCAAUCAAAUCGAAAACAAAAUUUUCAAAACCCUAAUAUUCAACAAAAUAGAAUUCUAAAGCUAAAAAAACAUAUUAUACACAUCGAAGCCUUUUAACUUAUUUUCUUUAAUUCCCUUCUCCUUCCUUUAUCUUUCUCUCUUUUAUCUUCUUCUUCUCUUCUCCCGUCACUCCCUCUUAAUUUUCAAAUCCCUCUUUCUUUCUUUUUUUCUAUUUAUAGUUAUCAAGUUUUAUUCUAUUAUCACAAUAUCCUUUAUUCAUUUAUAUCUACUUCUAAGCCUCCAAGAACUUUGUAGCCUUUUCCUACUCUCAUUUAUUUAUAAAUCUCACAAGUUAAUUAUAUAGUGAAAUAUACUAAAUACCUCAGCUAUGAUCAGUCUUGGAUGAAUCCACGUUGAUAAAAUUUGCCCAAUUCCGCUAGCUGUCCUUCAAAAAAUAUUAUAUAGUUAUUCUGAGAAGAAAUUUUUAUUUAAAAAAAAAAGAGUAUCUGAAACUUAUAACUUGUAAGCUGUCUAGGCUUUAACUCUAACUGAUAUAAAAGAAUUAUAAGUAUACAUGAUUUAUAAACCCUACAUACAGUGAUCAGUUAAGAACUUUUUGGCACAAAUAUUGAAAAACAGCAUUGCCAAUGGUAGAGACCUUCAAUCCUUGUCGUUUAAGGUUCGUGAAAUAUUGCUGUUUUUUUGACAAGUUGCAGGCAGUUUCCAGUUCCCUAUACGUUCGUGGCGUGGCUUGUACAUAGGAAACGUGUCUCCUUGUAGGAGUUUCUCGUACUGUGAGGUAUCCUGCAUGCUUCUUUCCUUUCUGAGUUUGUAAACAUGUUAAACACCACCACUUCUCAGUUCUUGCAUUCAUCAGCUUCUUCUAAUGCUAAAAGUGAAGAAGUCAAGACUAAAAGUGAAGCCCAGGUUGAGAUUCAGGUUUUGUCUCUCUCUCUCUCUCUCGUAUUUUAUUUAUGGAACUUAUUGUUAUCAAUAUAGUACUCACGAGUGGUUUUAUUUAUGGAAAAACUGAAAAAUUAUGUAGGAAAGUGCUGAAAUAUUCUUCUUCUAUAUAUAUGACGUUCAACAUUUGUACUUGGUUCUAAGGCCAGAGUCUGGAGAGAGAGCGGUUGAGGAGAAAGCACCCCAAUCUGGCUUUAAAUUUCAGCAGUAUUGAUCAUGAUGGUGGAAGUAGUAGUGCUUCACAAUGGCUCGAGCCAGGGCAUGGAAGCCAGUUAAUUAAUUGUAAUAUAUUGUCCAAAAAUAUGUGUUUAGUAUAUAAUAUGCAAGUUCUUUCUCUCAAAGUUUUACAAUAGAGCUAGUAGUUAGAGCAAUGAAUGUGCUUUCUUUUUCUCUUGGAUUGUAGGUAGUGAACAAUGAAAAAGAGCCCUUGUUUGAGAUUGAUAGAAGAAAUGGGAUGUAAAAGUCUUCCAGAAGUCAGCAUUGAAUUUUGUUGCAGUUUCAUGGACAUCAAUUUGAUCAUAAAUUUUGAUUACCUGUUGCAUCUCAGAGGAAUAUGACACUGCUGCAACAAGAGGGCUCCGACACAAGUAUCCAGCAAGAGCAUUAGGAGAAGGCAUUUAUCGGAUACCAAGGCACAAAUCCAGGCAAGAGAAUGCAUGCUCAUUUGGUGUACAAGCUAGAGUUGCCAUCAAAAGACAAGGAAAACGAGCCUCAAGAGUCGCUUAACAUCGAACGUGAGGGCUCAUUUAUAAUUCACAUAAGGAAUCCCGAUCAACAUGGUGGCAGUUCCCAAUUUACAAUUGUAAACACAGGAGAGGAAAAGGUAGUUGCAAAUGUCUGCAUGAAUUCUAGCAUGCCAGAGAAGAAAUCCUUUUGCUGCCAUCUAAAGAUGGCUUCUCUAGCAGUCCGGAUGCCAAGACCACCCUUAUAAUUUUCCCUGGCAUCACCUUUACUAAACAUCUAGAUCAAAGAAGCAACUUGCUAAUUUGUUAAUAUACCCACAAAUCCUCCUAGCCAGCCAUGCUCAUACUUCAUAGUAUAGAGCGGAAUUGAUGGCAGCACCAGUGGGAGUGGAGUGAAUUGAAGUAUUCCAGGCACCUAAUUUACUGUGAGCUGCAAAACAACGUGGACAAUUGGAGGGUGAUGUGGCAAUGAAGACUUGAAUACACUUUAUUUUAAGAAGAAACUCAAUUUUGAUAGAUUGGAAACAUUAGAACAUAACUGUUUAUCUCAUCUUGUGUGUUUGGUUUUCAUCUACUCAUCCUAUUCCCCGAGUUCCCCUACAUUACUCUAGGGUCCUUUAACUAAUGUUAACAAACAUUAAAUGAC